GAUGAACGCUGGCGGCGUGCCUAAAACAUGCAAGUCGAGGGGAAACGAUAUUGGAAGCUUGCUUCCGAUAGGCGUCGACCGGCGCACGGGUGAGUAACGCGUAUCCAACCUGCCCAUCACUUGGGAAUAACCUUGCGAAAGUAAGACUAAUGCCCAAUGACAUUUAUGGAAGGCAUCAGAAAUGAAUUAAAGAUUUAUCGGCGAUGGAUGGGGAUGCGUCUGAUUAGCUUGUUGGCGGGGUAACGGCCCACCAAGGCGACGAUCAGUAGGGGUUCUGAGAGGAAGGUCCCCCACAUUGGAACUGAGACACGGUCCAAACUCCUACGGGAGGCAGCAGUGAGGAAUAUUGGUCAAUGGGCGAGAGCCUGAACCAGCCAAGUAGCGUGCAGGAUGACGGCCCUAUGGGUUGUAAACUGCUUUUAUAAGGGAAUAAAGUGAGUCACGUGUGACUUUUUGCAUGUACCUUAUGAAUAAGGACCGGCUAAUUCCGUGCCAGCAGCCGCCGUAA
rnacentral:rRNA from 1 species